rnacentral:rRNA from 1 species
AACGGCCAUACCAUGCUGAAUAUACCGGUUCUCGUUAGAUCACCGAAGUCAAGCAUCAUUGGGCGCGGUCAGUACUUGGGUGGGUGGCCACCUGGGAACACCGCAUGCCGUU